GUUCAGCCUAAAGUAAAUUUUGUAGAAACAAAUACACUACUUUAGAGUAAUUCAAGCGAGGUACAGCUCGCUUGAAAAAGGGUACAACCUAAGACAACGGGUAACCUUCAGCCCCAAAACCAAGUAGGCCUAAAAGCAGCCAUCUUAAAAAAGCGUCAAAGCUUAAUUUUUGCGCCACCUGAUACCAAAAUUAACACAGAGCCCUUCACCAAUAUUGAGUACUUCUAUACCCCUAUAGAAAUUUUUAUGUUAAAACUAGUAACAAGAAGGCACUUCUCUUACAAUAUAAGUGUAAGUUAGCAAUGGACCGCCCCACUAAUCCUUACGCAGUUCAACAAACAAUCCCCCAUCCCCUCGAAAACCCUGUUUUACCCUCCUGUUAGCCUAACACAAGAGUAUUUCAAGAAAGAUUAAACAAAAAAGAAGGAACUCGGCAAAUACUGAUCCCGCCUGUUUACCAAAAACACCGCCUCUUGUUAAAAUAAGAGGUCUAGCCUGCCCAGUGACCCCCCCCAGUUCAACGGCCGCGGUAUUCUGACCGUGCGAAGGUAGCGCAAUCACUUGUCUUUUAAAUAAAGACUUGUAUGAAAGGCAUCACGAGAAUCAAACUGUCUCCUUUUUUCAAUCCGUGAAACUAAUCUUCCCGUGAAGAAGCGGGAAUCCUACUAUAAGACGAGAAGACCCUGUGGAGCUUGAGGCUAAACAGUUUCCGCUCCCCAUAAUUACAUAUAACAGCGCUUAACUGCUCACCUUAGGUUGGGGCGACCGCGGAGUAAAGCCCACCCUCCGCGCCAGGGAAUUACCCAACAAAGAACCACAAUUCCACGUUUCAACAAAUUGACAUAAUUGACCCAAUUACUUGAGCAACGAACUAAGUUACCCCAGGGAUAACAGCGCAAUCCACUUCAAGAGCCCUUAUCGACAAGUGGGUUUACGACCUCGAUGUUGGAUCAGGGUCUCCCAGUGGUGCAGCCGCUACUAAAGGUUCGUUUGUUCAACGAUUAAAACCCUACGUGAUCUGAGU
rnacentral:rRNA from 1 species